UGCUGGUGGGAGAUCAAAUAAAGUGCACCUUGGCCAGGAAUAUAUUCCCAUUGGGAAUGUGAAGAUGUUCACAUUCCCAGGUGCUUUUGCAGGCACUUUUGGUAACUCUUUCUCAUCCCCAGAGCAGGUGGUGCAGGCAGGGGACUGCUCCGUCUGCUGGCUGUUUCCUGCCUUUGACCACGCAGGACUUCAUAGCAGCUGCCCUCCUUUCCGCUCCGACAUCUCAGCUAAGUGAGAUGAAUCCAGGUCUUUAUGGGGCCUUUUUUUCCAAGUGGCAGUGGUUAUGCACAGGGCAAUACGGUGCAAAUCAAGACAGAUGUGCUUCCUCUUUGCGCAGCAAUUACUCACAGAGCCCUUCGGCGGGCUGCAUCUCACAAAUCCUGGAAGCAAAAGGCUGUUAGGAAUCACAAAUACACCUGGGAGGUGCAGCUCUACUGGGAAGGGGAGCAGAUGCUGAAUGGAAGCCCGGGAAUCAUACGUGCGAGGAGUUUGUCGGUUCUGUGUUUGCAGAUUUCAACCGUGCUGCCAUUAUGCUCGGGUGCUUUUCUUAUUAAACAAGACGAGGCAAGCACAAUCAACAUGUCCUGUUUUGGUUGAAUCAGCAAGGAGGAGUUCAGUGCUCACUCUCCACAAAUAAUCCCAUUCUCCCAGGCAGCUGUCUUCUGCAAAAUGAAAGUGCAGACAUCUACAGUAUUACCCAGUGCCUGUUUGCACGGAGUCUGCUGUUAUCAUGUUAAUGAA